CUUCAACGGACAUGUGCAAAAAAAGGACAGACCUCUGGGCGGUCUUAGGUCAAGCUUGAGUCACCAUUGGCACAUGUGAGAUGCAGAAAGUGAGGUAGAGAACAACUUUUGGAGUUCUUGGGACUUCCUGGGAGGAGGGCUAGAGUUCAGUUCGAGGCUGGUGCUUGAGGUUGGAGGAAUACUGAAGACUGUUUUCCUUCAGACUGGUCACAUGAGAAAACUGAAGCCCAGAAAAUUCACUUAGGAUCCUAAGUUUGGAGCUGGAAGGAACUUCAGAGGACAUCUAGUCCAACCCCAUCCUUUUACAGAUGAAGAAACUGAGGACCAGGGAGGCUAAAAGUCACAUGGGUGCCAGCUACCGGGUGGAUCAGGAAAAUUUGGUGAGGAAGCCAUCACUUGAGCUGAGUUUUGAAGGAAGCCAAGGAUUCCAAGAAGAGAAGAUAAAGAGAGGAGAGCAUUAUAGGUAUGGGAGAGGGGCAGCCAGUGCCAAAAAAACAAAACAAAACAAAAAAAAACCAGGAACUUAGUAUGUGUUACAGCAAAAGGUCAGAUUGGCUUGAUCUUGGAGAGUAUGAAAAUGGGGAAUCUGAUAUAAUAAUAGGGCUGGAGAACCAAGUUCUUUUAAAAUAUUAAUGUAGCCUAGAUUUCAAUCCUGACAAAUUUUAUAAGUUGCUGCUUUGGCAUGACAAUUUUAUGGAGAAAAUAAUGACUUGAUGCUGUGUGUCUUCAUGAGGGGUAAAGUUGGUGGGAGAGAUUUGGAGAGAGCUCCAUCUCUGCUUUGAGAGAGAUACAAAGUGUCCUAGGGACACUGGAGGAGUUCUCUUUGGCUAAGAUAAGAGGUUCAUUUAUUUUGUGUAUUUUCUGGAAUAUUCUGACUUGUGGAAUGUCUCCAAUUUCUGUUAGCUAUCUGAAUUGACUGAUAGGCUUAUAUGGCAUUCACUGUUUGUGAAGGCCUUUUGUGUAACUAGAAUUGGUGGAUUUAAGCUUGUAGUUACUUCUUUCCCUUUAAAGGAUAAUGAUCAGGGAAGUUAGUAGUUUUGUUGCUUUUGAACCUAAAACAUUUCAUGCCCCCAGGAUGGCAAAAUUUAGGGGAGCAGAUAAAUAAAAUUUUAGUUCCAUAUUCCCCCCUUUUUUUC
rnacentral:lncRNA from 1 species